rnacentral:rRNA from 1 species
UACGUAGGGGGCAAGGCGUUGUCCGGAUUUAUUGGGCGUAAAGAGCGUGUAGGCGGCCACACAGGUCAGCUGUGAAAACUCGAGGCUCAACCUCGAGACGUCGGUUGAAACCGUAUGGCUAGAGUCCGGAAGAGGAGAGUGGAAUCCCGGUGUAGCGGUGAAAUGCGCAGAUAUCGGGAAGAACACCCGUGGCGAAGGCGGCUCACUGGACCGGUACUGACGCUGAGGCGCGAAAGCGUGGGGAGCAAAGCGGG